rnacentral:rRNA from 1 species
GAUGAACGCUAGCUACAGGCUUAACACAUGCAAGUCGAGGGGUAACAAGAGAAAAGCUUGCUUUUCUUGUUGACGACCGGCGCACGGGUGAGUAACGCGUAUCCAACCUGCCUAUAACUAGGGAAUAACCUUGCGAAAGUAAGACUAAUACCCUGUGAUUUCCUUUGAUGACAUCAGAUUAGGAAUAAAGAUUUAUCGGUUAUAGAUGGGGAUGCGUCUGAUUAGCUUGUUGGCGGGGUAACGGCCCACCAAGGCAACGAUCAGUAGGGGUUCUGAGAGGAAGGUCCCCCACAUUGGAACUGAGACACGGUCCAAACUCCUACGGGAGGCAGCAGUGAGGAAUAUUGGUCAAUGGGCGGAAGCCUGAACCAGCCAAGUAGCGUGCAGGAUGACGGUCCUAUGGGUUGUAAACUGCUUUUAUACAGGAAUAAAGUUAGCCACGUGUGGUUAUUUGUAGGUACUGUAUGAAUAAGGACCGGCUAAUUCCGUGCCAGCAGCCGCGGUAA